GCGGAAAUCCGGCAUUCAUAUAUAUAACAAUAGUCGACUCUAGAAUCGACUCUGUCUCCUCUAAUACAAAAUAUGGCUUCCGAUGUAGUAUUGCUAUGUUAUUCAACACGGUUAAUACUAGAAUUGGUUAAUCAUUCCAAAACUAAAUCGUGAAAAAUCAAUAUUAAAGGAAAAAAGGUUCAUGUUUUGCGCAUGCGUGAUAUGCUGUGAAUGUCUCACACAGAAACAACGACAUCUCUAUCCGUCUGCCUGUCUUGCAAAAACGGAAAUAUCGUUUUCUUUCAUGUUAAACUUUCAAUUCAAUCGUAUAUCAGUAGAGUUCAAUUGAAAACAUGAGAUCGCGCCGCACGAUGGAAACUGAAAUUUGAAAAAUAGUGUACCACAGCUGACGAGUAUUUACAACUCGAUCGGAGCGCCGAUACUGGGAAUUGGGAAAACGCACCGCGUCGCUAAAAGGAAUUAUCUCACCACGGGAAUUCCCAGAACACCUAUCUCCUUCGUUAGUAACGAUUUAAAGUGUAAAAAUUUAUCUGAUGCGUAAAACAGAGUAAUCCAUACAGUAGACUUAGAGUAUCAAAUUUUAAAUAAGUCUUAAACAUUUAUGCCUGGACUGAAAAUCAUUGUAUUUCGUCUCUAUUUGUCGGGUACUGUCAGAAAAUACGAAAAAACUUGUAAAAGAAGUGGUAUCCCGUAGCGAAGUUUAACCUUGGACGAUAUUUUAUGUUUUUUCAAGGUCAUUGAGGCCCGACUGCUCGUUUUCAUCAUUUUUCUCGUUAUAUAUUACAUUUACAUCAUAACAAGGUAAUUAAGAAGGUUUCGUCAAAAUCCACGAGGGCGUCAUACAUCGACAGAUUCAUUGAUAAAGGAAUAGGGGUCUGGCUAUUUCUGAUAUUUUCAACAUAGUCAUAGAAAUGAGUACGCGUAUUGGCCGAAAGUGCCAUAUAUACAAAUAAUACAAUACGCAGUAACGCAUAACGAUAGAGAGCAGUAACUUCCUUGCUUCUGUGGCCCGUUGGGUCGUUAACACUGCAUAGUACGUACGUACAUAGGAAGGAUGAUAUGAGAUAAAUAAUGAUCAAUGUUGGAUCUAGAAAUUUGGGAGUAAUUUUUAAAUUCACCGGUCGAAAAUUAUCACAUAACAUAAAUAAAAACUAUAAAUAAAAGUUGUGUCCUGAAACAAAAUUCAAUGCUUUUUUUUUUUUUUUUUUUUUUUUUUUAGGACAAAAAUUCAAUUCACAAUUUUAACUUGGAUCGGCAAUAAAGUUUCGAGUUCAUUUUAUAUAUUUACAUUAAAAAUAAUAAUUUUAAGAACAGUUGUACUAAUUAAAUUCUACAAGUUUUUAAGCCUAGAACGGAACAAAUGUAAUAAUAUGGGCAAGAGACACGAUAUAAUCAAAAUUAAUAUAUCACAUUUCUUUUGCAUAUAUUAUAUCUUAAAUAUUAAUAACUAUACUGAGAUUCGUAGACAUCCAAAAUUAUUUUGUUACAUAAUUAUUAUUAUUUGUAAUUAUCAUUCGAAUAUAUAUAUUUCAAAUUAUAUGUAUAGUGAAUGUACGAGCGUACAAUGAAAAUUUGAAUACAAUAAUUAAAUAACAAUAUCCUAAUUUUGUACAUACUUAGAUUUUAAUGGAACCAUCAGUGUAUCAUAUUUAUGCAUAUAUCAGUGAGUAACGAUUCAUAACAAUUAGCAAAACUUUCUGUUCUUUACAUAUUUAAUUUAUUCUAUGUACUUGUACAUGAUCGUACAAAUUUUUUAAAUGUAAAAUCAUUUAAAUUGUUGCAAGAGUUCGUGGAAAUGUCCCAUCCAUAAAUUCAGUGAAAUAAUGUUCAAUAAAUGUUGCAACGAUUUGUUCUAUAGUUAUUCAAGUAAAAAUUGCACGACAAUCAAGGCUUUUGAUGAAAAUAAUAAUAAUGUUUAUGAAUGUAAGUCACUUAAUAAAUACAUAUUUACAUAAUCUCAAUAUA